rnacentral:sRNA from 1 species
GCCGGGCAUGGAGGCGCAUACCUGUAAUCCCAGCGGUUUGGGAGGCUGAGACAGGAGAAUUGUGAGUUCAAAGCCAGCCUCAGCAACUGUGAUACAUUGAGCAACUCAGUGAGACACGGUCUCUA